rnacentral:rRNA from 1 species
AACGAACGCUGGCGGCAGGCUUAACACAUGCAAGUCGAACGGUUGCAGCAAUGCAGCAGUGGCAGACGGGUGAGUAACACGUGGGAACCUUCCUAGGGGUACGGAACAACUCAGGGAAACUUGAGAUAAUACCGUAUACGUCCGUGAGGAGAAAGAUUUAUCGCCCUUAGACGGGCCCGCGUCUGAUUAGCUAGUUGGUGGGGUAACGGCCUACCAAGGCGACGAUCCGUAGCUAAUCUUAGAGGAUGAUCAGCCACACUGGGACUGAGACACGGCCCAGACUCCUACGGGAGGCAGCAGUGGGGAAUCUUGGACAAUGGGCGCAAGCCUGAUCCAGCCAUGCCGCGUGAGUGAAGAAGGUCUUCGGAUUGCAAAGCUCUUUUGCCAGGGACGAUAAUGACGGUACCUGGAGAAUAAGCCCCGGCAAACUUCGUGCCAGCAGCCGCAGUAA